rnacentral:rRNA from 1 species
AUGCAUUUCAGUUUGUGGUUUGCUCACCCUGGUUCUUAUUUUAUUUCAUGGCAAGACGUGGUGCCUCUGAUGGCGUCAUUAGACGUGGUGCCUCCUGUUGGUAGACGUGGUCUUGUUGGCCAGGAGGUGAAUAUUGAUCAUGGUCUAUGGGCAUUUGGGCAGGCUACUAGACGUGCAAUCAAUGGAGCCCCAAAAGGGCCCAGAGGUCGCCUCUGGAGGUUGUGCUCACCAUAUUACCAUUAUAUCAAUGAUCAUAGCUAUCAUGCAUCUGAAGUCACAAACACAAACUUGUUUCCAAGAAGGCACAGCCAUCAAUGA